CUGCAGGUUUCAUCAUUGUCAACAUGGAACUGCCAGAUUCAGAGCACAAGGCUUUGGAGGAGAUUCUACCAAAUUUCUCGAAAGUGUGUCAACUUCGACUGUAAACGUCUAAAAUAAACAUACAUUCCAUCGAUGACGGUCAGCAUUUACAGCAGAAACCUGGUGGACUGAACUAAAAUGACAACCUAUGGAAGGCUGAAUGAAGGCUUUAGUACAGGCGCUAGAGAGUGACUGGAAACAUGAGGAGAGGAGGGUAUGCCACACAACAAAUGCCUCCCAGCUGUGUCUCGAACCGUGGAUGCCGUGGUCAUGAUGCUCUGUUUUCCUGCACUUGUUUUGAUCAGUAUUUAAGCUUUCUGUUGUCAUUUCACUUCAGUAAGGUUCUCUGUGAUCUGUAGUAUCCUGAUGUUUCAGAGCUGCAGGCGCUAAGAAGUCGGCUUUUCAGUGUCUUCCCUGCAUUUCCUUCAAUUUGUCAAAUAAAUGUAUGUACUCCACUUAUACCACACUUGAUCUUCAUGGCCUUAAUUUUUCAACAUGCAUUUUUCAUGUCGUGUGAGCCCUGACUUCCUAAGUGCCAUAACAGUUUAGUAGUUUGUUAUUAAUAAAAGUAAGGCCGCUAGCUGCAUACAGAUAUACAGAAAGAGGAGCAAAGCAUCAAAUAAACCAUAUUCUCAAGCCCCCACCAAUAUUUCCAUGUUUAUCAGAAUCUAAAUGCAUCUUGCCAAAGCACCGAGGCCCAGAUCUAAUAAAUGUUUGCAUGAGCUCAAAUGAUUUUGUGUUCAUUACAGUUGACAAAUUUAAUCUACUAACAGGGUACACGAGCAUUUUGCUAAUUAAUUGUAUGGUUGUAAGUGCAAAUGGAGAAAAUU